GGGAGGAGGACAGAUGAUGGCACUGGGCCUCCUUUUGCUCACCGUGCUGGCCACGCUCACCUCCUGCCAGGACCCUGAAGACCUGGACACGUACUGGUCUGGCACGGCUCCCAUCUGCGUGGGGGGCUGCAGGGGCAGGCACAAGGAGCUGAAGAGGAGCCAGUGCGGGAACGGCAGCUGCUGCUGGCUGGGCUACAAAUCCUUCUGCAGAGGUAAAGCCGGGGGAAAGCUGGGGGAUCCCUGGGGCUGAGCCCCUCCAGCAGCCGGGGACACGCCGGGGCCAGCCGCAGCCUUGCCUGGCGAGCCCUGGGGCUGUCCCCGUGGCCAGCAGCCUCGCAUCGCUGUCCGCAGUGAACUGCGGGCGGCCCGAGGCGGAUUUUAACUCGGUGGUGCACGGCAACGACUGGUGGGUGGGCUCCGUGGUGCGCUACAGCUGCCGGCCCGGCUUCCUGCUGCUGGGGGACCCCGCCAGCGCCUGCCAGCCCGACGGCCGCUGGACCCCCAAGCCCUCCUGCCUCCGGAUCUGCCUGCGGGGCCGCACGGAGAUCAGCGAGCGGGACAUCACCGGCAGGUGCUCCUCGUCCUGCGGCAGCCAGGAGCGCCUGGGAGCCGUCCUCAACAGCGGCUGCAUCAAGAUCUCGGCCUGUGUCACCAAAGCGUCGGGCUGGCCCCGCUGGCUGCGGCGCUGCGACAUCUGCGAGUGCGACUGCCACGUGCCCUGCGGUUCCUCCACGUAGAGCAGGGCCACCCGGGGCUGUGGCCACCGGCCCUGUGCUGAGGGAGGCUUCCACCUUGGGUCCUGCUUGCCUUCACCAGUGUCUGCUCCUUCCAUAAGCUCUGUCUGUCCCGAGGCCGUCAUCUGAGAAGGGAGGAGAUGUUCUGGACUCACUCUUGCAGGGCUGGCUCAUCCCAGACUCUCCAGGGCCGGGGAUGCUCUGGGAGCAGCAGGUGCUGGGAUCUGUGAGUGUUUCCUGCAGCUGGACUUGGGGACGGUGCUGGCAGCACCCAUUUCCCUGGUGCUAAAUACCCGUCCUUCAGUGCUGCAGGUUGUGAUUUCUCCGUGUCAGGUAAUUCCAGGCCCUGAGCUGGGAGGUGGAGCUGCCCUCUGAGCUCGCUGAGGCCAGCUGGAGUGUGGCAUCUGCCUCCUGUCCCCAUGGCAGGGACAGAGCAGCCUGGCCAGGGCUGCAGCACCCACUGCUGAGGAAUCAAACUGCCCUGCAGCCUCCCUGGGAGUGCACAGCGGGCAAAGGUCUCAUCUCCCAGGUGGAAAAUCUUCCCUACACACUGCUCCAUGCACUGCCUGCUGGUCCUGCUCCUUCCAGGGAGUCUGUGCUCCUGCCCUGAGAGCCCCAUUCUGCAGGGGCUUCUCCUCCAGCAGCUUGGGCCCACAAAGGGAGAGAUUUGCCUCCAGCCAGGAACAGUUUUGUGCUCCUUGAGGACAUCUCUGGCUCCUUAGGAAGCAGCCAGGGAAGCGGUUUCAUUCCCCCAGGGAAGGAGCGGGUGGGCUGGGGCACGUGUGAUGGUGCUGCAGGACCAGCCACGGGUCAUUAAAAAUAUAUUUGCAGGGAAUCCCACAGGUUUUCCUGCCAUGCAAAGAGGUUCUGCUGCCUGCUCUGUCCCUGGAGCCCUGAACGCAGAUGACAGAACCAGGACAGGCUCCCUGUGCCCCUGUCCUGAG
ensembl:lncRNA